AAUCGUACCCCAAACCGACACAGGUGGUCAGGUAGAGAAUACCAAGGCGCUUGAGAGAACUCGGGUGAAGGAACUAGGCAAAAUGGUGCCGUAACUUCGGGAGAAGGCACGCUGAUGGUAGGUGAAGUGACUUGCUCAUGGAGCUGAAAUCAGUCGAAGAUACCAGCUGGCUGCAACUGUUUAUUAAAAACACAGCACUGUGCAAACACGAAAGUGGACGUAUACGGUGUGACGCCUGCCCGGUGCCG
rnacentral:rRNA from 1 species